GGAGGGCACUGGGAGGGACACUAGUCUGUACUGGUUUAUACUGGUCUGAACUGGUGUGAACUGGUAUGAACUGGGCUGAACUGGGUUGAACUGGUCUGAAUUGGUCUUACUGGUCUGUAUUGGUCUGAACUUGUCUGUACUGGUCCAUACUGGUCUAUACUGGUCCAUACUGGUCUAUACUGGUCUAUAUUGAUUUAUACUGGUUUUAACUGGGCCAUACUGGUUUAUACUGGUUUUAACUGGUCUAUACUGGUUUGAACUGGUUCUAACUGGUGUCCCUGUGUCUCUCCCACAGGCCGGGGGGUGGCACUGGGGGUGUGUUACUGGUCUAUACUGGUCCAUACUGGUCUAUACUGGUUUAUACUGGUUUUAACUGGUUUAUACUGGUUUAUACUGGUUUAUACUGGUCUAUACUGGUUCUAACUGGUGUGUGUGUCUCUCCCACAGGCCGGGGGGUGGCACUGGGGGUGUGUUACUGGUCCAUACUGGCUCAUACUGGUUCAUACUGGUCCAUACUGGUUUUAACUGGUUUAUACUGGUUCUAACUGGUUCUAACUGGUCUCUCCCUCUCUCCCGCAGGCCGGGGGGUGGCACUUCCCCCGUUACCAGUGCGGGGUCCCCGCCCCCCCCCCCGGGUGGCGCUGCUGCACCCGGCCGCCAUGCAACCCACCUCCCCGGGUCCCCCCCAACGCGGCCCCCGCUGUUCCUGGAGGUGCUGCUGACCCCGGAAACCCCCAAAAACGCAGGGACCCCCCCCAAAAACGGGGAGGGCACCCCCCAAAAACGGGACCCAAAAUGGGGGGACCCCAAAAUCUGGGACCCUGAAAAUGGGGGGGACCCCAAAAUCUGCGACCCCCAGGAUGUCAUUGGAGAUCCCCCAGGACGUCGAGGACCCCAAAAAUGGGGAGAGAGACCCCAAAAAUGGGGGGGACCCCAAAAUCUGGGACCCCGAAAAUGGGGGGACCCCAAAAUCUGGAACCUCCGGGACAUCGAGGACCCCCCAAAUUUGGGGCAUCAGAGACACCCCCGGACAUCAAGAGACCCCCUCCUCUCUCUCGCCUGGACAUCGAGGACCCCAAAAUGGGGGGGACCCCGAAAUCUGGGACCUCGAAAAUGGGGGGGACCCCGAAAUCUGGGACCUUCAGGACAUCGAGGACCCCCCCAGGACGUCGAGGACCCCCCCAAAUUUGGGGCAUCAGAGACCCCCCCCCAGACAUUGGACACCCACCAGGACAUCGAGGACCCCAAAAAUGGGGGGGACCCCAAAAUCUGGAACCUCCAGGACGUCGGAGACCCCCCUUGGACAUCGAGGACCCCAAAAAUGGGGAGUGAGACCCGAAAAAUGGGGGGGACCCCAAAAUCUGGGACACCCAGGACAUCGAGGACCCCCAAAGUUUGGGGCAUCAGAGACCCCCCCAGGACAUCGAGGACCCCAAAAAUGGGGAGAGAGACCCCAAAAAUGGGGGAUCCCAAAAUCUGGGAGCCCAAAAAUGGGGGGGACCCCAAAAUCUGGGACCUCUGGGACAUCAUUGAGGACCCCCCUGGACAUCGAGGACCCCGAAAAUGGGGGGGACCCCAAAAUCUGGGACCCCCAGGAUAUCAAGGACCCCCCAGGACAUCGAGGACCCCCCAAAUUUGGGACAUCAGAGACCCCCCAGGACAUCGAGGACCCCAAAAAUGGGGAGAGAGACCCUAAAAAUGGGGGGGACCCCAAAAUUUGGAACCUCUGGGACAUCGAGGACCCCAAAAAUGGGGAGUGAGACCCCAAAAAUGGGGGGGACCCCGAAAUCUGGGACCUCCGGGACAUCAUUGGGGACCCCCCAGGAUUUUGGGGACCCCCCCCAGGGCAUUAUUGGGGAACACCCCCCCAAAAUUUUGGGGGGGACCCCUCCAAGCGUUGUGUUCAGGGACCCCAAAAUUGGGGAGACCCCAAAAACGGGGAGACCCCAAAAUUGAGGAGGGGAACCCCAAAAUUGGGGGAGGGAACCCCAAAAUUGAGGGGGGGGAGCAAUGGGGACAGACCCCAAAAUUAAGGGGGGACCCCAAAAAUGGGGAGAUCCCAAAAUUGAGG
ensembl:lncRNA